rnacentral:rRNA from 1 species
CCCUUAGAUGUUCUGGGCCGCACACGCGCUACAAUGGUGAAUUCAACAAGUCAACCAAAGCCGAUAGGUGGAGGUAAACUCGUAGUAUUCGCCGUGAUGGGGAUAGACCCUUGUAAUUAUUGGUCUCCAACGAGGAAUUCCUAGUAGGCGCAAGUCAUCAACUUGCAUCGAUUACGUCCCUGCCCUUUGUACACACCGCCCGUCGCACCUACCGAUUGAAUGGUCCGGUGAAGUCUUCGGACAGUGGCAGUUUACUGCUACUGAAAGUUGAGUGAACCUUACCAUUUAGAGGAAGGUGAAGUCGUAACA